rnacentral:sRNA from 1 species
UCUCCCUUUCUCCUUCUUCUUCUUCUUCCUCUUCUUCUCUCUUUUUU